UACGUAGGCAGCGAGCGUUGUUCGGAAUUACUGGGCGUAAAGAGCUUGUAGGCGGUUUGUCGCGUCUGCUGUGAAAACGCGAGGCUCAACCUCGCGCCUGCAGUGGGUACGGGCAGACUAGAGUGCGGUAGGGGAGAUUGGAAUUCCUGGUGUAGCGGUGGAAUGCGCAGAUAUCAGGAGGAACACCGAUGGCGAAGGCAGAUCUCUGGGCCGUAACUGACGCUGAGGAGCGAAAGCGUGGGGAGCGAACAGAUAGAACCCAUAGUCAGACCGAGUCCGUCACGCUAC
rnacentral:rRNA from 1 species